rnacentral:misc_RNA from 1 species
CCCAAUGACCAUAGAACAAGAGAUCAACAAACAGUUUCAGGAGUUCCUGAAUGCAAAGAAAGGUUGGGCAGUGCUGACUGCGUAAAUGUGAAAACUGAACAAACUUUAUAGCUGAUGAUCCCCCCUGUGAUUUGUGCAAUGAUCAAUGCAGAAAAAACCCAUAUUUCUUAUUAGUUAUCAUUACAAAUAUACUCAUUUUUAUCACUUCUCAUUUUUAUUCAUUGAAAACUAUUGUUUGAGUUUCCUUUUUAAUCUUACUAAUUAAAAGAAAAUGUAUGAAUAAAAAUCCUGUACAUAUUGUGACUUUAUUUAUUGUUAUCAUGUAAUAAAGAUUGGAAUAAUG